GAUGAGAACGCAGCGAAAUGCGAUAAGUAAUGUGAAUUGCAGAAUUCAGUGAAUCAUCGAAUCUUUGAACGCACAUUGCGCCCCCUGGUAUUCCGGGGGGCAUGCCUGUCCGAGCGUCAUUACAACCCUCAAGCUCAGCUUGGUGUUGGGCCCCGCCGCCCCGGCGGGCCCUAAAGUCAGUGGCGGUGCCGUCCGGCUCCGAGCGUAGUAAUUCUUCUCGCUCUGGAGGUCCGGUCGUGUGCUCGCCAGCAACCCCCAAUUUUUUUCAGGUUGACCUCGGAUCAGGUAGGGAUACCCGCUGAACUUAAGCAUAUCAAUAAACGGAGGA
rnacentral:misc_RNA from 1 species